CCGAGUUUACAACUCCCAAACCCCUGUGAACAUACCAUACUGUUGCCUCGGCGGAUCACCGCGUCCCGUCUUACGGGGCGGCCCGCCAGAGGACCCAAAACCCUGUCUUAAUUUGUAUCUUCUGAGUACCACUAUAAAUAAAUCA
rnacentral:misc_RNA from 1 species